ACCAGAAAGGAACCAUGGCCAUAAUGAUGCCAGGUGGCUCCCAUCACUUAGGAAGAGUGUCACUAAUUGUAAUAACAUCUGAAAAUGUCAUAAAGAGAAAGAUCUUGGCCAUGAGAGACCUUGUGAUAACAAGCCCAGGGCUUAUUGUAGAGGAUGUCAUUCAACUGCUGUAAAAGAUAGCUCUUACUGACAGAAACAGGGACAGCAAGCUCUAGAGGAGCGGAAAAUGAGCUGCUAUUUGGAGACCAGAGGGAGGAAAAAUGAUUGUAACAUGGUCAGGGAGUGGUGAGGACAUGACUAAAAACAUAAAGUGAGACUCUUAGCUAAGAUUAAACAAACAUGAUCUGUAAAUCUUGUACGGUGAAAUCUCUUCUGCUGAGCGUUGUCUGAAAGGUGUUUAUAAUGCUGUCCAGGGAGAUUCUAGCGUUAAAAGAGAUUUUCUUUAGUUAGCUCUAACAGAACAACCUGGGCUCAGCUCCAGGCCAGUUCUUUUCCUAUUGCUCAUCCCCUCUAGCAGAUUGUGCAAGUCUAAUUAGCAACGCAGGCUUUGGCCCUUUUUUUUGGCAUAAUGACGUUGUGACAUUUAGUGACCUUUUGUACCCUUCCAGUGACCCCCAUGCAGCCUGAUGGCUUUCCAAGAGCCUGAGCAGUUGGGAAAGCAGCAGUCAGCCCUCUCACCCAUGCUCCGGAUCUCAGAGCCUUCCUGUAGAAGUUUUGGCACUGUGGAUGUAGCAGGAGUAAAAAGCUUUGCAAACCCUGCAGGAUUUGCACUCAGCUGUGAACCGCUAACAGGUCUGCAAGGUCAAUGCCAGCUAUAUGAAGCCGUGCACUAAAGAGGUCACAUGUGGAGGCCCUUGAAAAGACCCACUGAAGUGUAUGAGUGAGCAUGAGAGGCAGCACUGGAGGAACCAGGGCACAAAAGCUGUUGUUGCCCUGUUUCUGGGUGAUUCCUGCUCUCCUCUUGCGGCCUCAUGGGGAGGAGAAACAAGGAUCAGAAUAGACACCAGAAGAUGGCUGGAGGUGUGUCUGCUUGGCAGCAAGCAUGUGUGAAGUCUUUGGAUCUGCUACCUGCUUUAAUGACAGUGGAAAGCGGAGAGGCUGGGCUGAGAGCACCAGCACGAAGGUGGUUUGCACUGGAGCUGUUAGUCACGUAUUUUCACGGCUUUUGUCACCAGCUGAGAAGUGGGAAGAAUAUUGGAUUGCUGCAAUGUUUACGUCAGCUGCCAGAGGACUGAGGAAGAGGAAGCACAAACAUUACAGCCACAAUUAAAGAAAAACUGGAACAGUGAGGAGCAGCUAAUGGCUUGGCAAAAUACUGCCUUUGAUGCAGUCACACAUACUUCCAUAUGUGGGUGGACUUUUUUCCUCUUCUUCCCUCUUUCCCUACUUUUUUUCUCUUUUUUAAGGAAGCCAUGUCCUGCUAAGCUGUGGCUGGGCUGGCACAAGGCUCGGCAGGAGAUGAGGAGAGCCCUUCUGUGGGAGGCUGAGCUUAGGGAAGUGCAAGCUGAUGGGCAGUGUUGCUCCUGGGUGGCAUCACUGCUGGGUACCAUCACCAACAGGCAGCAACACUGCUGGGCAUCAGGCAUUCCUGUGCAUGCUAGUGAGGUAAAGAAGGACACAUACAGAGCUUCUACCCCAGCCUUACUCUGUGCAAGUGGCAGUGAGGGCUCUGGACAGCUCAGCAAGUGCAAUUUCCAUUUAGCAGCUCGGUUCAGAAUUGAGUUGCAGUUUGCAUGUCCUCUGCCAUUUAGGGCACAAAGUCCGCAAGAGCCUGGGACUGACUGUUUAACCCCAAGUAAUCAUCAGGGCCUCCCAUUUCGAUCAUUUCUUCUGCUUUCUGUGCUGUUCACCAGCCCUCCUCCAAAUGAACCAGCCCUUUGAAGCAAGGGCUCCUCCUCUUCUUCCUCCUCCUCCACUUGUGGGCCACCGCUGGGAUGAAAGGGACGUCUGAUGUGGCAGGAAUCUGACAGGAAAAUCCUGCAAACAGCCACCACAUCUGCAAACCAGGUCACCAGCUUCCCUCGUGGGCAAAACACACAGGGAGGGGCUCCCACCCCAGCCCCAGAGGAAGAGAAACGUUUCUGUCAGUUCACUGUCCCAUGGCCAGAUCAGAGCUGUCUGAGGCAGGUGGACACUGACCCCACAAAGAAAGGGUCUCACAGGGGCACAGCACAUGGGAUCAAGCCCUGAGGAAACAUUCUUUGUCACCUUCCCCAGGAUGGCAGUUUAUAUCCGUGUCACCAUCAUGGCUGGGGGUGAUGGUUAGUGUGACCAUCUGAGAUAGUUAGUGUCUCCAGUUGUGGCCUAAGCAGGAGGUUCCUGUCCUCCCUACAUGGUCUUACAAAGUCAUCCUCAGCACCGCACCUGAACACCUAGCAAUAUGCGUCAGAUGCCGAGGCUACUCUCUGGUGGUACAAAUGAAAUGGUCUUUCUUUUGUGGAAUGGCAGAUCUCCUGAAACUCUAGAUAAAAGAACAAACCAAACCAAAACAAGCGCAAAAGCAGUAUUGGCUGCCGCAAUUACAAUCUGUGCGUGGCACUGAAAGUCUCCUCCCAGCCAUACCUAUAAAAAUGUGGUCAUUAUGCACCUUAAUAAGAAAAGUUUAAAAUUUCGUGGUUCAAAUUAAUUUGGACCCUAAUAAAAAUCCAGAUAAAAUGAGAAGAGCCAGGAGGCUAGAGAAUUUUACAGCUCUAAUGUUCUGUCCCAUUUCCCAAAAUAUAUUUGUUCAAGUAAUUCAAACUGUCGUUACAAUUAACUUGUCCUUUCAUUUCCCUUUCUGAAUUCCCUCUAAGCUAAACACACAAUUUUCUUCUAUAAAUCUGUGUGACAAGUGGAGCAGUAAAAUCUUUUUUUAUUUUUUUUCUUCACAUCAUUUAUAUGCAUUUUGCAUGGAUUGAGUUGUCAAGCACUUUUCUUAAGCUAAUUUCUAUGGUUGCAAGUGCUCGUAUCCACACUCAGAGCCACCUAAAAGACUUGUGGGAGAAGUCCAGUUUAGAUGACAGGCCAAGAUGAGUCUUGUGUGUUUUCUCAAUGGUAGGAAAUCUCAAAAAUCAGUCUUCAUGUUAUCUGCUGAGGGCUUUGCUGCUUGCUCUGAGGAGCAGGAAAUGUAGGGCUGUUCUGGUUUGUGGGUCUUCUUUUAUGGGUGCAAUGCAGGCUAGCAUCAAAAGUCGGUGGCAUGAGGCACAAUCCAUUCAGAGAAAAUUUUGUGGACAGUUGUGGGUGCAAAUAUUGCUUGUCUUUCAAGUUCCCCCAGCCCACAGGCAGCCUAAUCUGAGUUCGCAGCAGAAGACAGUUUUUUCUUGCCCAAAUCAAGGAGUUGUGUGAUAGUGAUGUGUGAUGCCCAGGUACCAAGUGCCUUGGGGAAGAUGGACCCUCCAGCCCUCUCCUCCGCAGUGGGCUCUGCUCAGGCUGGGGUCACCCCGGCACCACCACAAGAGCCGGACACCUUUGCCCGCUGCUCGUGCUUGACUUCCCUCCCCUCCCCACCCUUCUCACUUCAUCUGAAAUGGUAAUUCCUCUGACCAGGAAAGUAAUGACCCCGAUACAUUAUUUCAAAUGUCAUUUUUGCAAAGGAAUUAUCGGCUUAGUGUGAGACUGGAUUACAUUUUAAUUUUAAUAGUGCUAAAGUCUUACCGGUUUUUAAAUACAUUUUUCUGUUCUUUAAAUUUCAGCAGGGCAGUAUCUCACUUAGUUAGUCUGUACCUUGCUGUAAUCUCUCCAUUGUGGAAAUCUGACAGACGAGAGCCAUUAUUCAGUGGUCCGGGUAUCAGCCUUGCCUGUGCACAUUUCCUUUAGUCCCAUUGUCUGCAUUAGGGAUAAUGGCUGAGAUUGGGCAGUGGGACCUCAGAGUGGUUUUAUCUUUCUUUGGUAAGUGUGGAGACAAUCUUCUCAAAGGCACAAAGGAGGAAUUAAAUUACAAGUUCUCAUUUAUAGUCAAAUAGAGAUUGAGAAAUAUACCUUCUAUUUGGGCUUUUCAAAAUGUGCUCUUAAAUGUAAAUUAAUUGUUAAAAUUUCUUCAGUUGUGGGCUGCAGUUUUCACAAAAGGUCUCAGUAGCUAAUAUCUGUAAUUAACAGCUCAGUUUUCCCAAGGAGCUUUGCAUACUUCAAAGUACUUGCAUGCUUCCACUACCUUUCUUCCAUCUUUUGAGAUGUGUUUUAUUUAAAAUCAAUUACAAAUGAGGUGUUUAUUCAAAUCCUUUACCACUGGGCAUUAACUCAUAGGUAACGGAGCUCCAAACAGAACUUAAAUCACAUUUUAAGGUUCACACCAUGAAAUGAAUUUUUUCCACCCUUUCCAUCUCUUAGUUUAUUAUCAAGUUUGAUUACAGUGAGCAGCACAGUGGAUUGUACCCAUUGUACAAGGAGUUUAGCAUCAGCCUUUCUUGCAAAAUUCUCAACACUUGCUUUUUCAGAAGGAAAAUGUGAGAGAAUCCAUAAUUUUGAUUUAUGGAAUAACUCGUCAGUACCUCAUUUCUUGGCCUUUGACUGUCAAUAAGAGACUUUUUUUCAAUUCAACAUAGCAAGUUUUCUGGGCAUAAUAAAAAGUAAUUUACAUACAAUCUAUUACAAUUUCACAAAUGUGCAGUAUUUAACAUAGGUGUGUGUCCCAUUGUCUUCCUUUCUUGUAUACUACCCUCACAUGUGUUAUACAUGUGUGUACAUAUAUAGAGAGAGUUACUUUCUUUUAAAGACAUUAUUUGAUUAGAAGUGAGUAAAAGUACAAUGGAGCCAGAGGCAGAUCGAGCAGGGCCAACAUCUUGUCUCUUUGCAAUUGGACCAGGUUAUUCAGAGAAGGCGUAUUCAUCAAUGGUCUUCAUUUGCCCAAAUCCCUCGUGCACUUCUGGAAAUCCUGUCCUUCCAUAGCUUAACGGUCCUGAUGUUCAGUGCUUCACAGAAUCAGGCUGUAUCCAUCAAACAAUAUUGAGAGCCCAGCUCCAGGCACUAUUCCUCAAAACAUUGGUUGGAUCUUGUGACUAGAAGUUAGUGCUCAUGAAAUCUGUUGUAAACCAGAGGAGAUGAAAGGUGAAACACAUGCUUGUGACCACACUUCAAAUAUCUUCUCUAGCUUCAUGCCUAUUCAUUCUCCUCUUAACAAGCAGAAAACUACAAUUCAUAUGCUGCCUGAAGGAGAUGUCUUAGUUUUAUUUGCAUCUACACUUUUCAUCUAUUGUUUUAAUGAAUAAUAAAAUUAAGUGGU